rnacentral:rRNA from 1 species
UCCCAGACUCCUACGGGAGGCAGCAGUGGGGAAUAUUGCACAAUGGGCGCAAGCCUGAUGCAGCGACGCCGCGUGGGGGAUGAAGGCCUUCGGGUUGUAAACUCCUUUCGCUACCGACGAAGCCCUUUGGGGUGACGGUAGGUGGAGAAGAAGCACCGGCUAACUACGUGCCAGCAGCCGCGGUAAUACGUAGGGUGCGAGCGUUGUCCGGAUUUACUGGGCGUAAAGAGCUCGUAGGUGGUUUGUCGCGUCGUCUGUGAAAUUCCGGGGCUUAACUCCGGGCGUGCAGGCGAUACGGGCAUAACUUGAGUGCUGUAGGGGUAACUAGAAUUCCUGGUGUAGCGGUGGAAUGCGCAGAUAUCAGGAGGAACACCGAUGGCGAAGGCAGGUUACUGGGCAGUUACUGACGCUGAGGAGCGAAAGCAUGGGUAGCGAACAGGAUUAGAUACCCGAGUA